GGCAAGGACCCACUAUUCGGAACGAGUUGCGUGUUGCGGCCUGGCUGUUCUUUCCCCAACUCGAACCAGAAACGAAACAACUCGAUGGAAGGCGGUGCGCUUAGCGGCGGCGAAGGCAAGGAGGCGGCGGCCAUGCCCAUGGUGGUCUUGCCGGAGGUGCUCCGGCCAAAGCCCAAUUUCGCGGACCGCGUAUUUAAGUUCUGCAUGAAAAGCGCCAUUGCCCUUGGGAGCUGUUAUUUUGUUUUGUUGUCUUAUAUUGCAAUAUCAAAUCCGAGCUUGGAGAAGCUACACUUGCUGCCAUUUUUCGGGGUCGCUGUUACCGUCCCAUUGUAUGCAGCAGCUUUAAUGAAAGAGCAUGGCCACUAGAAGUCCAGGGGAAGUCUGCCUCAUGGAGCUAAUCCGCUGCUCACCUUUGCUGAGUUACCAUGAAUUUCAGUUGUCUUGUGUCUUUAUAUAUGGGGGUUCCCUUGUGUAUAUCCCACCGUUUAACCUAUGUAAGCACUAUUUAAUCGUAGGUUUGAUGGACCUUGAUGGACUAUGUAAGUUAAAUCAGCACUAGUACUUUCAAAUUGUGGGCUACCAGCAUGUUGAACUUUUCAGAAAAUUCUGGAUUGUUGGUAUUACCGUUUUGCACAAA